CAGCACUCUCAUGAGCAUGGAAUCAAACACAUACAGAUAAGCUCCAAGGCUGCAAACUCUAAGAAACGGACGCCAUCAGAGGAAUACUGUGACUUAAGGAAGUAUAUGGGCUGUGAGAUACAGGAGGACAAUAAUAAUAAUAAUAUUAAAAGAGUUGCGAGGAUACUGGAGAACUGGUGCUCUCUGCUCCAGUCAACAUCACAAAAAGAUGGAAACAGUUGUGGGACUUUUGUGCUACUGGUGAAUGCUCUUACCCUGACUGGGAGUAUCCGCCCCAGACAACUGAUACAACACCAUGACUUGGCAAUGAGAAUGUUCAUGUACAACAAAAUUUAGCAAAAUACAAAAUUUUGUAUUGCACUUUCAUUUCUAGACAUGGCAUUGUAACUUAAAAGAAAUCUGACAUAACAGAAAAAUAAAGAAUCUCAAAUUA